rnacentral:lncRNA from 1 species
AUGGAUUUUAUGUCGAAACUUUAUUAUUUGCGAAUUGCUUUUUUUAAGCGUUCGAUGAUUGGCCAAAUCUUUUUUUCCGUCUUUUGAAAUAUGUUAAUUUAUCUUGUGUCACAUGAAAUGAAAAUCGGAUUGGAAAAUCUACCUGUGGAACUAGAUCUGCACACUCUACCGAUACAGAUGAGAUUGCACCGGUUUUUCAUUGGGUUGGUCUGCUCACUCUACCGAUGCAGAUGAGAUUGUACCGGUUCUCGUUGGGUUGGUUUUGCCAAGUUUUUAGUUUUCUAUGUUAUGUUUUGAAGACUGUUGUUUGUCUUUUAUAGAUAUAGAAAGAUGUGGUGUGAGUGCCAAUGAGACAACUCUCUAUCCAAAUAACAAUUUUAAAAAGUAAACCAUUAUAGGUAAAUGUACACGGAGCCUUGGCUCACACCGAACAACAAGCUAUAAAGGGCCCCAAAAUUACUUGUGUAAAACCAUUCAAA